rnacentral:rRNA from 1 species
GAGUUUGAUCCUGGCUCAGAGUGAACGCUGGCGGUAGGCCUAACACAUGCAAGUCGAACGGCAGCACAGAGGAGCUUGCUCCUUGGGUGGCGAGUGGCGGACGGGUGAGGAAUACAUCGGAAUCUACUCUGUCGUGGGGGAUAACGUAGGGAAACUUACGCUAAUACCGCAUACGACCUACGGGUGAAGCAGGGAGUCUUCGGACCUUGCGCGAUUG